rnacentral:rRNA from 1 species
AUUGAACGCUAGCGGGAUGCUUUACACAUGCAAGUCGAACGAGUGGCGGACGGGUGAGUAAUAUAUCGGAACGUGCCCAGUAGCGGGGGCUAACUACUCGAAAGAGUGGCUAAUACCGCAUAAUAUUGGAGCGGCCGAUAUCGGUUUAGCUAGUUGGUGGGGUAAAGGCUGACCAAGGCAACGAUCCGUAGCGGGUGUGAGAGGACGACCAGCCACAAUGGGACUGAGACACGGCCCAGACUCCUACGGGAGGCAGCAGUGGGGAAUUUUGGACAAUGGUGGAAACCCUGAUCCAGCCAUCCCGCGUGUAUGAGAAGGUCUUCGGUUUGUAAAGUACUGUUGUCAGAGAAGCGGUAUCUGAAGAGUAAGCACCGGCUAACUACGUGCCAGCAGCCGCGGUAAUAC